ACAGGUCUCCCAUGUCCAGCCCGACCCCCCAGCGCCGUGCCCCCCCCGGGCCGCCCCGCCCCGGGGUCCGCGCCGCUCCGUCCCGCCCUGUGGUUUCCCCCGAUCCUGGAGGACCGCCGCCGUCUGUCCCCUCACGGCCCAAUAGAGCGCCCCCACCUGGAGUCCCCAGAAUCUCAAUCAGUGACCAAUGAGGAUUCCACCAAUGUCACAGACCUGCUGCGUCUCCAUCCCGACCCUCCAGACCAGCCUGACUCCGCCCAAAUACCCAAAUACCCCGCCUCAUGACUCCGACCCCUGAUUCCACCCAAUCACCAUCACUGAACCACAAGCGAGCACCGAGCCGUCCCGGUCGGUUCUGGUUCUGCUCCUGGUUCUGUUGGUCCACCGGAACCAGCAGAACGUUAAUUUCUCUCACCCGGUGAGAAAGUUCUGCUGGAGGUUCUGGAAGGGUCCACUGUCGGUCCUCUGUGGUUCCUGGGUUCUCCAGCCAUCGCCAUUGGGUUCGGUCCAAUCAGCUUUCAGGUUCUGUUGAUCCAUCUGGACUGGGCUUGUCGGUACCGCCGUCCUUUUGAUGGGAUUCUGGUUCUGAUCCACUCCAGAUGGGUUCCUGCUGGGCUGGUCCUGACCCACUGCUGACCUGUCCUCUCUCUGUCCUCUGUCCCAGUCGCCCCAGUAAAGGUAGCCCCGCCCACGGAGAGAGCCCCCAGUCGUCCAUGGAGGGCUGACCCGACGACCUCUGACCCCUGAACCGUGUGUGAUCCGCUCCCCUCAUGUUGGUGACCAUUAGUAGCUCGUUGUGAUGAAU